rnacentral:miRNA from 10 species
AAUCUAGCCUCUACUAGGCUUUGUCUGU